rnacentral:snoRNA from 1 species
UUUAUCUAUUUGUUUGUUAGGCCUAAUAUGCUUAGUUAUUAUUAGGCCUAGCCUAGUUGGUUGCAAAUAAAUGCUAGGCCUAGGGCUAGGCCUUAUGUCUUAUAAACUAGUAUAAUAUUUUUAGGCAGUU